UACGGGGGGGGUAAGCGUUGUUCGGAAUUACUGGGCGUAAAGGGCUCGUAGGCGGCCAACUAAGUCAGACGUGAAAUCCCUCAGCUUAACUGGGGAACUGCGUCUGAUACUGGAUGGCUUGGAUCCGGGAGAGGGAUGCGGAAUUCCAGGUGUAGCGGUGAAAUGCGUAGAUAUCUGGAGGAACACCGGUGGCGAAGGCGGCAUCCUGGACCAAUAUUGACGCUGAGGUGCGAAAGCGUGGGGAGCAAACAGG
rnacentral:rRNA from 1 species